rnacentral:lncRNA from 1 species
GUGGGUGCUGCUGCCUGCUGCAUAAGCUCUACGCGGUGGCGACUCAGGCUUCCCCGAGUGGACGCCGGGGCCAAGCGGCGCCCGCUUUCCUCAGCUGUGACUUCUUUUGGACAACUCAUGAUAUUUAUUAUUGUGCCAAGUUUCUACAGAUAAAAGAUGGGUGGAUUAUUUUCUCGAUGGAGGGCAAAACCUUCAACAGUAGAAGUUCUAGAAAAUAUAGAUAAGGAAAUUCAAGCAUUGGAAGAAUUUAGAGAAAAAAAUCAGAGAUUGCAAAAAUUAUGGGUUGGAAGAUUAAUUAUCUAUUCUUCAAUUCUUUAUCUGUUUACAUGUUUAAUUGUGUACUUGUGGUAUCUUCCUGAUGAAUUUAUAGCAAGACUUGUCAU